rnacentral:rRNA from 1 species
CCUACGGGAGGCAGCAGUGGGGAAUAUUGGACAAUGGGCGAAAGCCUGAUCCAGCCAUGCCGCGUGUGUGAAGAAGGCCUUCGGGUUGUAAAGCACUUUCAGUGGGGAAGAAAGCCUUGGGGCUAAUACCCUCGAGGAAGGACAUCACCCACAGAAGAAGCACCGGCUAACUCCGUGCCAGCAGCCGCGGUAAUACGGAGGGUGCGAGCGUUAAUCGGAAUUACUGGGCGUAAAGCGCGCGUAGGCGGUCUGAUAAGCCGGUUGUGAAAGCCCCGGGCUCAACCUGGGAACGGCAUCCGGAACUGUCAGGCUAGAGUGCAGGAGAGGAAGGUAGAAUUCCCGGUGUAGCGGUGAAAUGCGUAGAGAUCGGGAGGAAUACCAGUGGCGAAGGCGGCCUUCUGGACUGACACUGACGCUGAGGUGCGAAAGCGUGGGUAGCAAACAGGAUUAGAUCCCCUAGUUAGUC